rnacentral:rRNA from 1 species
UAAUACAUGCAAGUAGAACGCUGAAGAGAGCAUCUUGCUCUUCUUGGAUGAGUUGCGAACGGGUGAGUAACGCGUAGGUAACCUGCCUUGUAGCGGGGGAUAACUAUUGGAAACGAUAGCUAAUACCGCAUAACAAUAGGUGACACAUGUCAUUUAUUUGAAAGGGGCAAUUGCUCCACUACAAGAUGGACCUGCGUUGUAUUAGCUAGUAGGUGAGGUAACGGCUCACCUAGGCGACGAUACAUAGCCGACCUGAGAGGGUGAUCGGCCACACUGGGACUGAGACACGGCCCAGACUCCUACGGGAGGCAGCAGUAGGGAAUCUUCGGCAAUGGGGGCAACCCUGACCGAGCAACGCCACGUGAGUGAAGAAGGUUUUCGGAUCGUAAAGCUCUGUUGUAAGUCAAGAACGAGUGUGAGAGUGGAAAGUUCACACUGUGACGGUAGCUUACCAGAAAGGGACGGCUAACUACGUGCCAGCAGCCGCGGUAAUACGUAGGUCCCGAGCGUUGUCCGGAUUUAUUGGGCGUAAAGCGAGCGCAGGCGGUUUGAUAAGUCUGAAGUUAAAGGCUGUGGCUCAACCAUAGUUCGCUUUGGAAACUGUCAAACUUGAGUGCAGAAGGGGAGAGUGGAAUUCCAUGUGUAGCGGUGAAAUGCGUAGAUAUAUGGAGGAACACCGGUGGCGAAAGCGGCUCUCUGGUCUGUAACUGACGCUGAGGCUCGAAAGCGUGGGGAGCGAACAGGAUUAGAUACCCUGGUAGUCCACGCCGUAAACGAUGAGUGCUAGGUGUUGGAUCCUUUCCGGGAUUCAGUGCCGCAGCUAACGCAUUAAGCACUCCGCCUGGGGAGUACGACCGCAAGGUUGAAACUCAAAGGAAUUGACGGGGGCCCGCACAAGCGGUGGAGCAUGUGGUUUAAUUCGAAGCAACGCGAAGAACCUUACCAGGUCUUGACAUCCCGAUGCUAUUUCUAGAGAUAGAAAGUUACUUCGGUACAUCGGUGACAGGUGGUGCAUGGUUGUCGUCAGCUCGUGUCGUGAGAUGUUGGGUUAAGUCCCGCAACGAGCGCAACCCCUAUUGUUAGUUGCCAUCAUUCAGUUGGGCACUCUAGCGAGACUGCCGGUAAUAAACCGGAGGAAGGUGGGGAUGACGUCAAAUCAUCAUGCCCCUUAUGACCUGGGCUACACACGUGCUACAAUGGUUGGUACAACGAGUUGCGAGUCGGUGACGGCAAGCUAAUCUCUUAAAGCCAAUCUCAGUUCGGAUUGUAGGCUGCAACUCGCCUACAUGAAGUCGGAAUCGCUAGUAAUCGCGGAUCAGCACGCCGCGGUGAAUACGUUCCCGGGCCUUGUACACACCGCCCGUCACACCACGAGAGUUUGUAACACCCGAAGUCGGUGAGGUAACCUUUUGGAGCCAGCCGCCUAAGGUGGGAUAGAUGAUUGGGGUGAAAUG